UCAGUAUGCUCAUAUUUGGUGGCUAGCAUUUAAAUGAUUUACUCUAAUUUCCUGUUUAACUGUUCCCUAGGCCUUAAUUCACCUGGGUACUAUUUAAAUGUGGUCAGUGUGAAAGCAAGGUGUCCUCUCCCCCUCAUCCUUGCCCCUCCCCUAAAGAAAGGAAAACCUUCCUAGGAAGACUAAGAAAUGUGAAUCUUCUUUUAGGUCUUACCAAUUCAUUUAUGGAGCCACCUGGUGUGUUUUGCAAACCCCUCUUUCCAGCCACUUGCAACAGCAAAUCCCUCCAUCCUGGCAAGACUAAUACCUGCAGGUACCUGUCACCCAGAAUAAGUGAGUUGAGGCCAGUUCUUUCCCUCCCCAGGAUUACAAGGGGCAGCUGGCAUUGGAGGAAGUCACAUGGCUUGGGACCAUGGCUGCAAGGAAGGCCCAAGGUGCAGGUGCCAUCUGGCUAGCCGGUUGCCCCCACCCAGCAAGGGCCCACCCAGUCCUGCCCCAUCGUCUUUCGGAAGGAAGGUCUCGUGUUUGACAGCGCCUCCCCCAGUCGGCCCCCUCCUGAAAACCAGCGAUCCCUUUCUCUUGCCAGACUCGAAGUUCCUUGAGAGUAGGAACACUAUCAGUUCUGAUUCACCUUGGUGUAUCCCCGGGGCUUGGAACAUACAAGCCUUUGAGAUAUCUCAGUCAAGUGAAUGAAUGGACAGUUAAAAGUAUUGAGACAUCAAGGUGAUUAAACCGAUUCUCAGCUGGGAA